CCUUACAGUGACAGAGGAGGAGGAGGUGACGAGGUUGACAAGUUGGGAGGGAGGAGGAGGAGGAGUCUGGAGUAGGAGGAGGGCCUGGAAAGGGGAGGGUGUGCGGCGGGGGCACCAGGAGGGGUGCUGGGGUGGGUGGGGCCGCUGGAGGGGGGUAGGGGUGGCGGCGGCGGCGGCGCGGCGCGCCACGGCAGAAGGAGGGGGCGGGGCGGCGCGCCACGGCAGAAGGAGGGGGCGGGGCGGCGCCGCAAGGAGGCCGCGGCCGGCCGCUUCAGGGCCCGAGGCUAAGCGCUUUUCCCCCACCGACUUCAAACAAGGCCGCCGCACCCUACUCGCUCCUACCGCGGAUCCCUGUCGUUCCUCUACGACGUAGCCCGGCGGCUCAGGCGGUAGGCGAGGUAGCCGGAGCCGAUGCUGCAGCGGCGGCUGCAGGCCGAGUUCAAGACGUUCGUCGCGCCGAGCGGGCUGGGCAGCGAGUAGCUCGAGCUGGCGCUACCGUGGGUCCUGUAGCACGAGGGGCCGUCGGAGUGGUGGCAGCGGCCGCACGGGUUCAGGUAGUUCACGCUGUUCCCCCUCGCCUACGCCAAGGCCAGGCUACAGGACAGCAAGGUCGUCUACAGCCUCGUUAAGUUGGCCCUCAAUAGAAACAGACCUUUUUAAGGUAGACCGGACAAGUUAUUAUACAAACUUAAAUGACCGAGGACCGUCUUUCUACGACGCUCAUGGUUCAGUGAACGAAAACUGCCAACCACGUAGUGUGAUAUAUGACAACGUGAGAGCUUCCGUGUUUAACAUGAUGCUCUAGUACAAUUCGUCCGACAAGGUAGGUGGACCCUUGGACGACGAAACCGUUCCAAGUAAGUUUUUAAACCCUGUGUAUAUCAGCAACCACAAUUUUACCCUCCCUUCCUACAUUAAAUAAACUUUGUUGUCGUAAGUAGUUCGAACGUUCGGCAACUACAAGUUUUUGCUAACUUCCUCUACAGACUGUCCUCUAAAGAACUACGUUUACCCGUUAGACUGUAAUCAAAGUCCCUACGCAUACCCUUCCUCCUAUUCUCACUGUCUUCUCUCGUCGCUGACUCUAAACACCUCAGGUCAGGGGAUUUAAGAAUACGAAGCUUCCUCCUAAACCAUCACGAGGGAUCCGCUUCUCCACCUUCCCUAUUUCUAUACGAGAGAGUAUCGCUCACCAACUUAAGACAAGUUCGUCUUGGACUACAAUAGAGUUACAGAAAAUAUGGAUAAUGAAGUAACAACUUACCUCAAGGACCAUCACCGAAAGACUUAGUACGUUAAUUAGACAUGGAAGCAAUAUUCGGAGGUUAACUCCUUAACGUGGUCAAAAACCUCAAGGUCGAAGGUUCCGUCACCCGUGGUCAAAUAUCACUGGAGGGAGAGCCAGGAGUCUCCUUUUUCGUUUCGUCACGUAGAAACGGUCAUUUAAAAUAACCAGGUUGUGAAAUACAAACAUGGUUGUACCAACUACACCCGUUUUCUGGUUAAUGCCCCGAGGCCAACAAAGAACUUCCUUUCUUCUCAUUGUUUAAUCGAUAGGUAGAGGUUGUAGAGACAAGAGAAGGGGUCUAAUAGGUCGACCUCCUGCUGGGAAUGUUGUUGGCUUGAGGUCUUGGUAAACUGGCGUUUAUGCACCUUGGUUAUCCUAGUACCUUCGCGAAGAGGGUACAGACGUGUCGCGGUCACCUCAGUCUCCUGCGAAGGUAGCAGUGCCCUCGUGCCGAUCUUCAAUAGUCGGUCCCGAAGUUCUUCUAUGACAAGGAGUCCGACGUGAAGAGGUUCCAGCACUUACGGGUGAGGCAGUCCGUCGGGCUCACCCUCCCCAGGGGCUUGAAUUAGGUCUUCAGUCCGGAGUAGAGUUGCGAGUAGUCAUGUGUGAAGAGGUGCCGCCACGUCUUCGGCUACGGGGCGGGACGGCUGCACUUGUAGUUGAGCCGCCACAUGGGACCCCCGGGUGGGCGAGGCCACGUCGGGGGCUUCGACGAGUUCAAACACCUGUGCUGCCUCUACCACGCACCCGGCGUCCUGGACGGCCCCAUGACCCACCACAGCCCGCGGUUCGACGUGGAGCUCUCCCCGUUCUAUAGGGACGCCCACGCCAUGAGCGAGGACUGCCGGUACGACGGGCUGCUGCUCCUAAUGCGCGAACUACUGCUCAAGAUCCUAGGGGAUCUUUUGUUAGCCUUACUUUGCUGCGGACAGCAGUAGGGAAGUAAACAAUACACGCCGACUGGCACUCCCGCGCCCGCCCGCUUUCUAAAUCUCAAAAGCAACGCAGGCACGAGAACAACAACCAAAGACAACAUACGUUAACACCCAAAAAGCGUCAUUACUCACGACACAGGACUUUACCUCCCUCUUUUCCUUUUUAACAACAAACACCGCACCUGAACUCAACUUAUCCAAUCCACUGUCUAGGUUAAUAAACAUAUAUAUGUUCUACGUUGUCCCUUUGACAAAACUAAAACGUAACAGUUUUCUAAGUCCACAAAAGAUCCUAACAAAAACGCCACACCUGAACUCAUAAUACUUUUGCAAACGACUUCUUAACGGUUUUAACCACAAACG
rnacentral:rRNA from 1 species